AGUCGAACGGCAGCGCGGGGCAACCUGGCGGCGAGUGGCGAACGGGUGAGUAAUAUAUCGGAACGUACCCAAGAGUGGGGGAUAACGUAGCGAAAGUUACGCUAAUACCGCAUACGAUCUAUGGAUGAAAGUGGGGGAUUCGCAAGAACCUCAUGCUCCUGGAGCGGCCGAUAUCUGAUUAGCUAGUUGGUGAGGUAAAGGCUCACCAAGGCGACGAUCAGUAGCUGGUCUGAGAGGACGACCAGCCACACUGGAACUGAGACACGGUCCAGACUCCUACGGGAGGCAGCAGUGGGGAAUUUUGGACAAUGGGCGCAAGCCUGAUCCAGCAAUGCCGCGCGAGUGAAGAAGGCCUUCGGGUUGUAAAGCUCUUUUGUCAGGGAAGAAACGGCUGGGGGUAAUACCCUCGGCUAAUGACGGUACCUGAAGAAUAAGCACCGGCUAACUACGUGCCAGCAGCCGCGGUAAUACGUAGGGUGCAAGCGUUAAUCGGAAUUACUGGGCGUAAAGCGUGCGCAGGCGGUCUUGUAAGUCUGUCGUGAAAGCCCCGGGCUCAACCUGGGAAUUGCGAUGGAGACUGCAAGGCUUGAAUCUGGCAGAGGGGGGUAGAAUUCCACGUGUAGCAGUGAAAUGCGUAGAGAUGUGGAGGAACACCGAUGGCGAAGGCAGCCCCCUGGGUCAAGAUUGACGCUCAUGCACGAAAGCGUGGGGAGCAAACAGGAUUAGAUACCCUGGUAGUCCACGCCCUAAACGAUGUCUACUAGUUGUCGGGUCUUAAUUGACUUGGUAACGCAGCUAACGCGUGAAGUAGACCGCCUGGGGAGUACGGUCGCAAGAUUAAAACUCAAAGGAAUUGAC
rnacentral:rRNA from 1 species